rnacentral:tRNA from 1 species
GGCUAGGUAGCUCAGCCGGUUAGAGCACAGGAUUCAUAAUCCUGGGGUCGCGAGUUCAAGUCUCGCCCUAGCUACCA